rnacentral:misc_RNA from 1 species
UCCGAGUUGACCCCGGCAGUCUCCUAUGAGUCCCCACCAUUACGUGCUGGCAACAUAGGACGAGGGUUGCGCUCGUUGCGGGACUUAACCCAACAUCUCACGACACGAGCUGACGACAGCCAUGCACCACCUGUGAUCCUGCCCCGAAGGGAAGACCUGUUUCCGUGCGCUUGCAGCACCAUGUCAAGUCCAGGUAGGGUUCUUCGCGUUGCAUCGAAUUAAAGAACAUGCUCCGCUGCUUGUGCGGGCCCCCGUCAAUUCUUUUGAGUUUUAGCCUUGCGGCCGUACUCCCCAGGCGGAACACUUAUCGCGUUGGCUGCGGCACAGACAGAUUCGACUCCGCCCACACCUAGUGUUCAUCGUUUACGGCGUGGACUAC